rnacentral:rRNA from 1 species
UCCUACGGGACGCAGCAGUGAGGAAUAUUGGUCAAUGGUCGGGAGACUGAACCAGCCAAGCCGCGUGAGGGAUGAAGGCACAGAGUAUCGUAAACCUCUUUUGUCAGGGAACAAAGGCGGGGACGUGUCCCCGGAUGAGUGUACCUGAAGAAAAAGCAUCGGCUAACUCCGUGCCAGCAGCCGCGGUAAUACGGAGGAUGCGAGCGUUAUCCGGAUUUAUUGGGUUUAAAGGGUGCGCAGGCGGUCUGUUAAGUCAGCGGUUAAAGCCCGGGGCUCAACCCCGGCCCGCCGUUGAAACUGGCAGG